GCAAGAAGAUAUUCUCUGCUAAUCAGAAGGCCUGACAAAUGCCGUCAUAAUUUUCAAGCAAUGAGCAGACUGGAUGGAGGGGCAGUUAACAGACAUACUUGCUGUUGAAUCACAGGUAACAAAUGGGGAUGUGAACUCCAGAAAGAACAGAGAGUACAAGUGAAAGUCUCUUCUCUCCCAGAGGUACUACUUCCUGAACUCCAUUGGAGGUGAUAGAUUCCUACCUUGGGAAUCGUGAAUUUGCAAGAAAUUAUAUUCAUUCGAUAUUAGACGCUGGCUUCACCACCACCAUUUUCCAUAAAUCUGUCCCAUCAUUUGCAUCACCCAACACAAACAGAUGAGUAUAUUCUUUGAUUACAAAAUAACAGUACUUUGAAGUCUCCCAGAAUCCCACUAAAAUGUGGAUCCCUAAAAAAUUUUCAAGAGAAAGACUCUGCUUCUACUUGGAACAUUCUCCACCAGACCAUUUCAUGGACUGUCUUCCUUUCUUUUUUCUUUCUUGUUUUUUGCCCUUUCAUAUUUCUGCUCAGCUGUUACAUCUUCAGCAAGGUUGUCACUGACCACUGUCUACAUAUGUCAACCACCCCUUUAUAUACAUUAUAUUUCUUGUUGAUUACAUCUCUAACCAUACUGCAUUGCUUUCAAUAUUCUCAAUAAAAUUUGAAUGAGUUAUGAAAUUUUGAUUUAUGUAUAUAUGCAAGAACUCAACUUGCAGUAUUUCUGGCUUCCCUUCCAAGAUGCUCCCUGAGCCAGAUGAUCAGGAAGCCUGCUAUGAACAGUCUCUCCUAGAAAUCGCUGAAUGAACAGAACUAGAACAAUGGCAAAGUCAAUAGACAUGCUUAUGUGGAGGGAUGGAAAUUUUAUGGGAUCCCACCCAAAAAAAAAAAGAAAUAUAGGCAGCUAAAGACUGCUGGAAGAGGGCUAAUUAGCCUGUCCUGAGCCUUUAUUCGUUAUCUAUUAUAAAGUGUUCAGCCCUGAAACUAUAUACACACAAACAACAGAAACAGAGUCAGCAUGUUGUUUUUUAGAUAUGUGCAUACAUGCGUAUGUAUGUAUGUGACAUUAACAAAGAAAAAGAGGGUAUCAACUUUGAAAGUGGGAAAUGGCAGGGGAGUGUUUGGAAGGAGGAUAUCUGGGAGGGGCUAGAGGGAGGAAAGAGAAGCAGUAAAGUGAUGUAAUUCUAUUUUCAUUAGAAAUGCAGUUUAUAAAUUAACAGAGAAGAGAACUCUGCUUAUAAUUACACAUGAAGUAUGUUAUUAUAAGAUAAUAAUAAUUUUCAUAAGCAAAUUAUGAAUUUUCACUAGCAGUACCAAAGUAAUUUGUAAUGUAUUCUAUUGCUCAACAAAAGUAGAGAUGGGAAAACAGAUAAUUCUCUCAAAUACUUUUCAGUAUCUUCAUUUAUUCUGUUUUAUUUUAUUGGGUUAAAAAUAAGCCAUCAUGUAAAUGAGAACUUGAGAUAAUUGUUUAAGCUGGGUUUUUUUAGUUAUUUUUAUUUUUAUUUUUUUUAAAGCACUAACAACUGCCCAUCUUCAUUUGCAGAAGCGGCAAGUCAUAGUUCCAAGCUAUUUUAUGGCACAUAGUAUACAAAUGUCUGUCUGUCCAUGUCUCUGUCUCUGUCUCUCUCUCCCCUUCUCUGUUUGUGUGUGUGUGUGUGUGUGCGCGUGUGUGUGUUCGUGUGUGUGUGUGUGUGUGUGUGUGUGUGUGUUACUAUCAAAACAAUAACUCUGGAAAGAAUGUUUUCCAAAGUCCAUAAUGCUUACUGUAAAUUAGACCAAUAUUUAACUAAAAAGUUACCAAAAUUUUGAAUAUCAACUUGAACCUUGAUGACUCUUCUCUUUAUAUACAUAUUUGAGACCCCUCCCCCUUAGGAUUAUAGGUCUACUGCCACACUCUGCUUUUAUAGGAGUGCUAGAAAUCAGAAUUCAAGGCCCUAACACUUUUAAAGCAAUUUCUUCGCCAGCUAAACCAACUCCUCCAGCCUUCAGGGAAAAAAUCUUAAGUGUUAACAUUGCUGCUGAUACACAAGCAGAUUUUCUACAUCAAUAUUAGUUCCAGGUCACAUUUCAAGCAGGCAUCACAAUAUCAGCUGUUUUACAAUUCAAUUUGGCAUUUCCAAUGAAAAACUCAACACACCACUCAGCAAUCCUAUCUAGUGCCUUAGCAAUGAUGUUCCAACUGGGCAUCUGGCUAAAAUACUCAGCCUCGCUGACAUGCCUUGUAUCCACUCUUGAGAGUCUACAUUCUGGCAUGUUAUUUGGAACCUCAAAUAUGGCAUGUUCUCUUCUAUGAGACAAAGGAAGGCAGAAAAAAAUAUAUGUAACACUUAAUAGCAGCUUAAGUCUGAUAAAAUCUGACAUUCUUGUUUUACAUUCUUUUCCAAAAUAAUGAUAUUUUACUUUCCUAAAUAAAAUAUAAUCUUGACCCAAUUUAUAAAAAUAGCAAGAAAGUAUUCAUUCAUUUCCAAUUGUAUUGGUAAGUUUAUUUAUGGAUUAUAACAAAGUAUGUGCUAUGGGGAACUGAGCUAUGAAUCUUCAUCACUUUCCUCAUUGUUUAUAUAGAGGAAAAUAAAAUAUGUACUAGUUACUAAUAAUUCAAAGCAAAAAAUAAUCUGAUUUCUUCUGUAUCUUUCCGAAUGCUUUUGGACAUUAGUGAAGAAACACACAGAAUCGAAUUGAGGAGCUUCCACAUCGCAUCUUAGUGAUGAGCUGGACUGUGCCUUGGUAAAGAGAUGUGUUUCUCCAAGGAACUUGCUUUCCCACCUGCAGAGACAGUUUCUAUGUCCUGCUUCUUCCACACUGGAAGGUCUUAACCAUCCCCUCACUGAAACAGUAGAUGGGAUCAACUCCGGGCUUUCUCACGUUUUCACUGCCAGAUCUGCACUCUCCUGGACCCCUGCAUGUGUUCUCAUCUCAGAACCAGGCACGACUGUCUUUGUCAACUAAACCCACUGUCCUUGUGUAGAUAAUCCUGAGUGUCUUCCCAAAAUGUCUGAAUGUGUGUGUCAGUUGGCUCUUCCUCCCUUCUUGCAUCAUUGGUUUUCCUCUCCUGAAUGGACUGUCCCAUAAUUAGUUCUUCAAAUUAAAAAAAAAAAAAAGAAGAACAGUCCAGCAUGAUGAGAUAGCUCAGUCAAUAGAGUGCUUGCUUUACAAGCAUGAGUACCUGAGGUCAAUCCCCAGAAAACUGUAAAAAUACUGAGCAUGAUAGCCUGCUUGUAAUCGUGGGUUUAGGGAGAUAGAGAUAGGAGGAUUCCUGGGGUUCAUUCACUAGUCAGUUUAAUCGGUAAGCUCCAGGCCAAUAAGAGACCUUUUUUUUGGUUUUGUUUUGUUUUUGGUUUUUGGUUUUUUUGAGACAGGGUUUCUCUGUGUAGCUUUGUGCCUUUCCUGGAACUCACUCUGUAUUCCAAGCUGACCUUGACCUCACAGAGAUCCGCCUGGCUCUGCCUCCCGAGUGCUGGGAUUAAAGGCGUGUGCCACUACCGCCCGGCAAGAGACACUUUUCAAAGGAGAUGGAUGAUAUUCAAGAGAAUGACACUCAAGGUUGUCAUCUCUUUGCCAGAUGUGCAUACACACACACACACACACACACACACACACACACACACACACACGCACUACAGAUGAGUUAAUUUUCAACUCAAUUUUCUCCUAACUUCUACUGUUUGUUCAUGGUUUUUUUCUAUAAACUUUUAAAAUUUUUUCUUUUAUAUCCUUUAAUUCAUGACCAAAUUUGCUUUCACUCCAAACACUCUCUGAUCAAUGACCUUAUCAAAGCUCCAGUUUGUCUCCAUUUUGCAAAAAUUAGUGAAUAUUUUUUGAGAGUUCCAUAGACUCUCAGCAACAUUAGAUAUCAUUUAAUAGUUCUUUGUCCUUAAGCAAAAGCAGACUCUUCUCUUUUACCUUAUUGAGCUGCUCAUAGCCCUCUCCUCUCUACAUGCCUCCUCCAGGGAAUGUAUGUAUUUUCUAGGUCUUUAAAUCAUUUGUGUCUUCUUGAUUUAUAAUUCUAGCCUGACUGCCUUCUCUAAGCUCCAAUUGCUCCAUAUCCAAUUGCUUUCUCUCCCAUUGGACUUGCAUCUUUAGCAGAGUUUUCGAGUGUUAAAUGUUCUAAAAUUAUCUUGAUUAUUCUUAGGAAAAAACAGUGUGUUUUUAACCAUCUGCAUUUGGCUCACCCAAUCCCCAAACUGAUUCUCUUUGUAAUUCACACUCAUAUCCAGUUUAUGAAUAAGAUCAAUAGAGUCUCCUUCUAAAAUGCAUAUAAGAUCUGACCUCUUCCUUUUCAAAAAACUGGUCUUAUCCUCAUCCAGAUUAUCAUCUCUUAGAAUAUGAAACAGCCUAGUUAUUCCCAUACUUACACUCUUUUUGUAAUUAUUUCUUUUAUUUUUGGAGAUUAUAAUUACAUCAUUUCUCCUUUCCCUUGUCUCCCGCAUUCCUUCCCAUAUGCCACUCCUUUUCUCUUGAAAAUUUAUUACUUUAUUUUUUAUUAACUGUUGUUUAUAUAUAUAUAUGUGUGUGUGUGUGUGUGUGUGUGUGUGUGUGUGUGUCUAUGUGUGUAUAGUUAUUCCUAAAUACAUAAGUAAAACCCACUUAGUGUAUAUAAUGUUACUUGUAUGUGUAUGAUUUCAAGGCUGACUGUUUGAUAUUGGAUAACCAGUUGAUCUGCUUUUCCCUGGAGAAGACUAUUUCUCCUGCCCUAAGCAUUCCAAAUUGCCUGUAGUUCUUUGUGAGAAUUCAUGGGCUUUCCCUUAUCCACAAUAGCAUAUCCAUGGUUGUUGCCCUUGUUCAGCUCGCAUUUAAGCAGUCAUUAUUUUUGCCUGCUUUAGGUCUCUACACAAUAGAAGACUAUUGUUCUUACAAAGUUAAUUCAUGUCAUUACUUUCAUCAAUCAUGGUACUGUGAUGGAAAGAAAUAGGCCUCUGAAUAUUGAAAGGUAUUUACAUUUUGUUUCUUGAAAUUUAGGGGCAAACACCAGGAUAACAGGUGAGCUUUUGCAAAGAUACAGAAGCAGAGAAGUGGAAACAUUAAACUGAACUUUCAGCUGGGCCUGCAGAAUACACAGAGCACACUUCAAAUUUUCCACCUUCCUUGCAAACAGUUUGCAACUGAGAGCAUUCCAACUGAAUCAUGAAACCUCAUGUUAUAGGUACAGGACUUCAGUCUAUCCCCUGGAGUUGCUAUUGAAUGUGUUGCUUCACUAAGUACAGGUUGGACUACAGUGAUCUCUUACAACCUUCUAAUUAAUUCCAGAUGGAAGAAUUACAGCAUUUGGAGGAUCAGAAUCCCUGACAUUUAGUAUUUGCCCCAUAUGUUUACUGACGGCCCCAUCUGUGGCAGUUCUUUGGGGGAAUAACAGCGGGACUGUCUAAUUCACCUUGGCUGCUGCUUUCCUUCCAAGCUCAAAGAGGAAAGUGGCCAACUGUUAUCAAGGACAGACAUUUUCUAAGUUCUUCAUAAACCAACUCUUCCAAGCACCUCUUCUGGGGCUCAAGGAGAAACUCAGUGGCAUAAUGCUUAUCUAGAAUGGAUAGAGCUAUGGAUUUCAUUCCAGCACCAUAAACGUUUUGAACUUUCUUCUAUUGUCUGCUCUUUGAACGGUGGAGUGGCAGGCAUGUGACUUCACUUACUGAGUAAGCUAUUAACUUUAGAUUAUUUAAUUCUAAUCUUGUUGUACCUAAAUUUCGUCACUCUCUUCUUCAUUUUAGCACUAUUUACUCCUCCUUUACCUAUACUACUGAACACUUACAUUCUGACCUUUCAUUGCAUGUGUUUGUAAAUAUUUAUAUUCUGUCUAUAUAAUGCCAUGGUCAUAGUCUUGGCUUCUGAAUUAUGCACUAUAAUACUUUAUGUUUAGUAAAACAGGCCAAGUUGACAAUAACCUGGUUUUCAGUAAUUAGUGUGUUUUGAUUAAGAUUGCUACAGUAACUCGUUUUACUUUGGACAUUUUAUUAUCUCACAGACAAAAUACAUUUAUUUCAGAAAUAGA